AUCGAUUGCUAUAUCCCCGAUGACGAACAAAGACGGAGAAGCAGCAGAUACUGGUCUCGUUGUACCGACAGAUAUUCAUGGGACAAGUCCUCCUUGUGACACAUGCCAGCCCCAGCCGCAGCAACGCCUCGCAGGACGACUGGCCUCGGAGUCGGAGUCGGAAUCCCACUCCCACGACCAGGACAAGGUAAUUGCCUAAUUGGGCCACUUCCAACUGCUUCUAUGUGUGGAUCUGGGGCUGGGGCUCUGGAUUAGCGGGCUGGCGAGACAAGGGCCGAAAGGAAAGAUGUCAGUCGGGCCCUGUCCUCAUCCUAACUCUUCCUCUUCCAUCUCCCUUCCCCUUCCCUGAGGGCGGACGCCAUGCGUGCGCGUGGUUAGGUUACUGGUUAGCUCUCAAGUCGUACGAUGAAAGGAGGUGGCGGCCGGCGUCGGUGAAGGCAGCAGCGGGAGCGGGGGCCGCGAGGCAGAGGACGCGGCCGCGGCGUAGAGACCGCGCGGUCGGGAAGGACCGCAACCGGGAGCAGGGGCAUGUCUCCGGAGUCCCGGCGCGGGGGGCCAACGGCCGCGGCGCGAGGCGGCAGGCGAUGGCCGUGGCCAUGGGAGGUGGAUGAGCGCUGGAGCCUGCGGGCUGCAGACGUUCGCUUGCCUCGCCGCGCUCUCUAUCCACCACCCCCACUGAUGAAAAAUGGGCUGGGUGAUCUGUGACUCCGACAAAAACGACAAAGUGAAAGAUAGAGUCAUUGCAGCCCUGAGGUGGUGUGAUCAGCUUGGUGAUCCUCCUGCUACCAUUGUUUGGGCCAACAGGAGGGCCAACAGGGCCAAGAGGCGGUUUAAAGGGUCACAUGACAUUAAAUGAAGUAUCAGAUCUUCCUUCCCAUUAGUAGAACAUUCUCUUCUAUGUAAUUUUGGGAGAUGCAUUUGUUUGAACUUGUGUCUCCUCUUAACCUCUACUUACGUGAUGUUGAUGCUAACGGCCCCUGGAGAAUGGAGGCCCCACGCAUGGUUCCUUACUAGUACUAGUAUGUCGUGUGGAAGUCAUACGUUGACUAGUAUAAUACGUACUAGCGUGUCAUCGUCAUACUUCACAACCUUGCGUCCGGCAGUCAUUGUUGCUGGUGUCUUCACCCGGUCAGUGACUUGCGGGUGGCAGCAUUUGUUGCUAGGACAAGACCUGAAUCGCUCGGUUAUUGGUUCCGUCCUGAUAUUAUAUAUACUGUAUAUAACACAUGAUCGAUCCGUUCGUGAGUUCACGCGGAUCAAAUCUAGACAUGUCCCUCUGUUGUACAA